CAGUCGAGCGGGCGUAGCAAUACGUCAGCGGCAGACGGGUGAGUAACGCGUGGGAACGUACCUUUUGGUUCGGAACAACACAGGGAAACUUGUGCUAAUACCGGAUAAGCCCUUACGGGGAAAGAUUUAUCGCCGAAAGAUCGGCCCGCGUCUGAUUAGCUAGUUGGUGAGGUAACGGCUCACCAAGGCGACGAUCAGUAGCUGGUCUGAGAGGAUGAUCAGCCACAUUGGGACUGAGACACGGCCCAAACUCCUACGGGAGGCAGCAGUGGGGAAUAUUGGACGAUGGGCGCAAGCCUGAUCCAGCCAUGCCGCGCGAGUGAUGAAGGCCCUAGGGUUGUAAAGCUCUUUUGUGCGGGAAGAUAAUGACGGUACCGCAAGAAUAAGCCCCGGCUAACUUCGUGCCAGCAGCCGCG
rnacentral:rRNA from 1 species